CUUUCUUCUUUUUCAUUUGAGUUUAUUUUCUGUGAUCUGUUUAUUGUUGUUUGCUGCUAGUUUAUUUGCUGAAUUAUCGUUUAUUUACUAGUUUGCUUGCGAUUUAUUCAUUGAAGGGAGAAAUAAACAAAUAAUAAAAAAAAUGGGAAUAAAAAAAUCAAUAAUUAAAAUAAAAAUAAAAAAUUAUAAUUCAUAUAAAAGACUUUUUCUUUAAUUUCUUGAUAAAUUUUAUUUUUCUUAAUUGUGAGUUUAUAUUCAAUUUAUUCAAAGUGGUUAAUUUGUUGUAUUUUCAAUUUUUUUUUCUUGUGAUUAAUUUGUUUACUUAAGAUAUAUGCGAUGGAAAUUGAUAAAAUUUUUAAGUUGUUUAGACAUAAUUAAUUAUGUAAUUAAUUUUUUUUUCCUAAAGGUUGAGGUUGAGUAUUAAUUUCUUAUAUAUGUUAUGAAAAUAAGUAAUAUUGAAUUUUUGUAAACAAAUUAUUUUUUUUCUCCUCAUUUCACUUGGGCGCGAGCCUGUGCUUAGGCUCCAAGACCCCUUGGUGCCUUGGUGCAUCUUGCGCCUUUAAUAACUAUGGGAUUGGAAGAGCAUAUAUUUAUGUAUUAUGCCCUUGUAUCAUUUUGAUAGUAUCGUGUUCACUUAACGUUAUAUCUCGCGAGUACUUUAGCUUUGUUGUUACUUAAUUUGUUUUAUACACUUUCUUUUAGAAAUUGAAUAUCUGAAAGGUCAAAUUUACUUCAGGGAGUGUCCUUUAGACUUGAAAGAAGCAAUAUCUAGCAUCUGUUUUGCUGCACCAAGAUGCGCAGAUCUGCCAGAGUUGUUGCAGGUUCAAAUGCUAUUUGCUUUCAAAUAUGGAAAGGAAUUUAUAGCUGCUGCAACUGAGCUUAUGCCAGAAUGUGGUGUCAAUCGACAGGUUUUGUGAUCUGUCAUAUUAUAUUGUGGAUUAGUUAUGAUAAAAAGUGGCAUAUUUAUGUUUCUUUUCCUGUGACAUUUUUCCUGUGAAUUAAAAUGCAACAGUUGAUAGAACUCUUAUCUGUUCGUGCUCCUUCACCUGAAGUAAAAUUGAAACUUCUGAAGGAAAUUGCUGAAGAGCAUGAAUUAGAUUGGGAUCCAGCUGCCUCUGAAAAGGAGCUUUUGAAAAAACAUGAAGAUUUAUUGGUAAGUGAUAAUAUCUUGGUGCCCUGAUUUUUGCUUUCAUUCUUUGCCUUACAUUUGUCCUUAUUUUAUCAGAAUGGUCCAACACAAUUUGUUAGUGGGUCUAAGUUGCCCCUUCCAGAAGAGAAACAUAAUGAAGCAUUGAACUCUGUUCCUGAUCAUUCCCAUAAUAAGGACCCUGAUUCAGAUUCAGACUUUGAAGAAUUAGAUUUUCCCGAAGUCCCUAAAGUGUCUUUACGGCCAAAUGCCAAUGCCGCCUCAGCACCAGAAAUGGAACCUAUACCAGAUUCUGCACAGCGUAGCAUUGAUAGUGAAUCAUCAAAUCACUCUGCAACCUCUGAAAAUCUAGCUCAGGGAUCUCAUUUGGAAAAUGAGGAUGGGACUGAAGAAAAGCUAGUGGCUGCCAAGGAAGAAAUGCCCAAUAUUAUGGUAGGUGCCAACAAAGAAAAACAAUUUGUGCCAUUUAUGUCUCCCCUAUCAGUAGCUUCUACACCCCUUUCAACAAGGCCGAGUAGUUUGCCUCCUACCUCAAGGACAAAAAGCGAGGCCAAUGUAGAUCUGCAGGAUGUUUUAGCUGCUGCUCAAGCUGCUGCAGAAACUGCUGAACGUGCAGCAGCAGCAGCCCGCUCAGCAGCUACUCUUGCACAGGCCAGGAUUAGUGAGCUCACCAAGAAAAAUAGUGAGAAGUUCCCUGAGGAUAGUAAUGAGAAUCCAUUUCAUACAGAUACUCUUGAUCAAUCAGCUACUACAGAAAAGCCACAUUUUGAUCAUCAACAUUCUUUUGAUCCUACGGGUGUUGAUCGUGACUCACAUCAACUUCAUGAAGACCACCAGCCAUCAAAAUUACAUGAUCUUCCUUCCUUCGGAAAACUCAACACUGAAUAUGAUUCUCCUCCAAGUGAUCAUGUUCGUGAGCAAGGUUCUUUUCAUCACCAGCCACAGAGGCUGCCUUCAAUGGAUGAUGAGUCAUACUUCUCGUACCCAAAUUUGUUUACGCCUCAGAACCCAAAUGUUGGAACCAAUGCUCAAUCUGUGACAGAUAAUUCCCACUCCAUCCAUUAGGUUUGAGUUGCAGGGUCUUGAAGCAUCUAUUUUCAGGUCCCGACCAAUGAGUAGAUUUGGCAUAAUGGCACUUAUACUGGAGGGUAUUGAUCCUUCUGUAUUAUUUGUAGAGCAAUAAGGUCAUUAGCUGUUAUAGAGUGCAAGUACAAUGCAAUUAUGGCUGCCAGUGUUCAACAAGGUUUUGGACAAGGAAAAUUCUAUUGUGGCUGAGAAGCUAUCUCAAAUGGUGUGUUCUGUGAUGUGUUGGUGAGGUUUAGGGUUUUUGUGCAAAAAACAGCAUCGUGUUGGUAAUAAAUUUCUUUUUCAACUUUUUGAUAUUUUCAACGUUCGAAGCCUUAGAACUUGUUUGGUUCACUAAAAAAUACUCAAGAGUGGGAAUGAUUUUUUUUUGUGCGUGUUUGAAUUUUUUUUUUUAAUUGCAAUAAAUUAAAGGAUUACAUUCCCA
rnacentral:misc_RNA from 1 species